UUUCUGUAAAAGAAAAAAACAACAACAAACAAAUCAGCCUUUUUUUUAUAUCAAUGUCAUCAAUGUGUAGGCCUAAUAUUAGACUUUCAAUGAUUCAGAAGUUUCUCUACAGUUUCGUUAUUUUUUUUUCCAGUCAUUGAUGUUAGCAUGUACUACACAAAGAAAAACAGGCAAAGCAUGAAGCCAAAGGAAAUGUUUUUACCAAGGCAUGUUCCUCAAUAGCGGAGAGAGUUUUAUCCAGAGUCGGUUCUGCAGAAGAACCCAUUCAUAGCAGACCACCCAUUGCAGCACUUGUAAGGUCGCUAUAAAGAACCCGACAGACUCUGCGACCAAAAGAUCCCACUGACGUGUCGUCAAGCCUUGACGAAGAUUUCAUCGAUCAUAGUGCACCGAGAUUUUAUCAAAAAAGAGUUAAAGUUGGGGAAAGGCGCCAUCACAUUUUUUGUACUGAUAGACAGAUGCAACUACUCGCACGCGCAAAAACUUGGUAUAUGGAUGCAACUUUUCGGGUGGUGAACAAGCCAUGGUCUCAGCUGUUUUCCAUCCACGCCUUCAUUAAGACUGGAGAGACCACCCGACAGUUACCAUUGGUGUUUUGUGUAAUGUCGGGUAAAAGCCAAGACGACUAUUAUAAGGUCAUUUUCAAAUAAAUUCAUCAGCAUAUUAUUCGUUUUAAAUAAAUAUAAAACUUUUAUGAGAAACGAUGAUUAUCAAAGAACCUCAGUGAUGAUAUGUGACUCUUUCCACCUUCCAGCAAUAAUUAUUGAGAAUUUACCAAGGACUCCAUUGGCAUUGAAUCGAAGAAAAACAGUUUCAAUAUUGGAUGUAUAUGCAAAUCACCCAGAAAAAGAUCAUGUAAUAACAAAAGAAAUUAUAAAAGAAAAAAAUGGAAGAAGAAAUGGCUGGAAAAAAUGAUGAUAGAGCAGCUUUUUCUUGUUACCCACCUCGGAAGAUCAAGUUGGAAAGGGCUAUUGAUAUUGUGGAGACGUUUUCUCACAGAUCUUGCUUAUCAGACAAAGACUAUGCUGGAACACCAUUGAAAGAGUAUUUGCUGUAUGAUAACAACAAGAAAACCCAAGCAUCAAUUUAUUUUAUACUUCUGGGAAAGAAUGCAUUUGACCCAAUUUUUAAAUAUUUAUUUUUUGUUAUUAAUGUUAAAUUUUCUUCCAAAACACAAUUAGAUUUUAAUUCUCUUCAGAAAUGUAUGUAUAAUAUAGCAAGUAAAGUGGCAUAUAAAUCACUUAGAAUUUGGUCAGAAAUCAUAAAGUAUUUAAUAGGCAUUACUAGAAACCAAAUGUAGAUCAAAUACA